rnacentral:rRNA from 1 species
AAUGUGCCUUCGGGGAACCGUGAGACAGGUGCUGCAUGGCUGUCGUCAGCUCGUGUUGUGAAAUGUUGGGUUAAGUCCCGCAACGAGCGCAACCCUUAUCCUUUGUUGCCAGCGGUCCGGCCGGGAACUCAAAGGAGACUGUUAGUGAUAAACUGGAGGAAGGUGGGGAUGACGUCAAGUCAUCAUGGCCCUUACGACCAGGGCUACACACGUGCUACAAUGGCGCAUACAAAGAGAAGCGACCUCGCGAGAGCAAGCGGACCUCAUAAAGUGCGUCGUAGUCCGGAUUGGAGUCUGCAACUCGACUCCAUGAAGUCGGAAUCGCUAGUAAUCGUGGAUCAGAAUGCCACGGUGAAUACGUUCCCGGGCCUUGUACACACCGCCCGUCACACCAUGGGAGUGGGUUGCAAAAGAAGUAGGUAGCUUAACCUUCGGG